UGGGGGAUAUUGCACAAUGGGCGAAAGCCUGAUGCAGCGACGCCGCGUGGGGGAUGAAGGCUUUCGGGUUGUAAACCUCUUUCGCUAUCGAACAAGGCCCGCUUAGGGUGGGUUGAGGGUAGGUGGAGAAGAAGCGCCGGCUAACUACGUGCCAGCAGCCGCGGUAAUACGUAGGGCGCGAGCGUUGUCCGGAAUUAUUGGGCGUAAAGGGCUUGUAGGCGGCUUGUUGCGCCUGCUGUGAAAACGCGGGGCUUAACUUCGCGCGUGCAGUGGGUACGGGCAGGCUUGAGUGUGGUAGGGGUGACUGGAAUUCCAGGUGUAGCGGUGGAAUGCGCAGAUAUCUGGAGGAACACCGAUGGGGAAGGCAGGUCACUGGGCCAUUACUGACGCUGAGGAGCGAAAGCAUGGGUAGCGAACAGG
rnacentral:rRNA from 1 species